UGUGCCGAUAUGUAUCGAGCAGAACAAGGGAGCAAAGUGACACUAUUAAAAAGUUAGAAUUAGCAAUUGUUUUAGUAUUGACAUAUUUCGUGCCAGCAGUCGCGGUUAGACGAUUAAUACAAGUAAAUAUUAUUGGUUAAAGCAGUUAUUUAUAUAUUUGGGUUUAUUUAUUAAUUUAUAAGGUGGAAUUAUAUUUUAUUUUAAGGCUCAUUUUAUGAAUCUGUGAAACUUAAAUUAUAAACUAGGAUUAGAUACCCUAUUAUUUUAAAUGUAAAUUUUGUUUACCUGGGUACUAUUAGUUAAGAUCUUAAAACCCAAAGAAUUUGGCGGUAUCUUAUACCAUUCAGAGGAACCUACCCCAUAAUUGAUAAUACACGAUUUACUUUACUUAAUUUAUUUGUUUGUAUAUCUCCGUUAUCAGAAAAUCUUUUUAGAGUAAAAAUUUUCUUGAUUUAUAAUUUUAAAUUAUUUCAGGUCAAGGUGCAGCUUAUAAUUAAGUGGAGGUGGGUUACAAUAGAUUUUUUCUAUAAUGGAUUUAAUAAUUAAGUUUAUUAAUGAAGGUGGAUUUGAUAGUAAUUUAAUUUAUUUAAUUUAAUUGAUAUUGGCUCUAAGAUGUGUACACAUCGCCCGUCGCUCUCAUUUUAUUUUGGGAUUUUAAAUCUAAGUUAUUUAAAUGAGAUAAGUCGUAACAUAGUAGAUGUACUGGAAAGUGUAUCUAGAAAGAUUU
rnacentral:ncRNA from 1 species